rnacentral:sRNA from 1 species
AUGUGCCACUCGUACACUGCGGUUCCUGUGCGCCGUCCGCACCCGCCUGACGACUGCUCGCGACGUUUUGUUAGCC